rnacentral:rRNA from 1 species
UGAGGAAUAUUGGUCAAUGGGCGCAAGCCUGAACCAGCCAUCCCGCGUGCAGGAAGACGGCCCUAUGGGUUGUAAACUGCUUUUCCAGGGGGAGAAACUUGCGCACGUGUUGCGCAAUUGACGGUACCCUGGGAAUAAGCAUCGGCUAACUCCGUGCCAGCAGCCGCGGUAAUACGGAGGAUGCGAGCGUUAUCCGGAUUUAUUGGGUUUAAAGGGUGCGUAGGCGGAUAGAUAAGUCAGUGGUGAAAACCUGCAGCUUAACUGUAGACUUGCCGUUGAUACUGUCAGUCUUGAGUAUGGUCAAGGUAGGCGGAAUGUGUAAUGUAGCGGUGAAAUGCUUAGAUAUUACACAGAACACCGAUUGCGAAGGCAGCUUGCUGGGCCAUUACUGACGCUGAUGCACGAAAGCGUGGGGAUCGAACA